AACCAUAGAAACCUGCGGAGUACCUGCGGAAGGAUCAUUAUUGAAUUUAAACAAAGGGUAUUUAGGUUGUAGCUGGCUCCAUUAGUUUGGAGCAUGUGCACACCUUUUGCUCUUUUUUUAAUCCACACACACCUGUGAACCUGUGAGGCAGAGACAUGGAUGGGAGAACUUCCAUUUACUUUAAAAUGAAUGAUUGGGACCCCUACCCCCCUCUGUCUACUCAACUCUAAUAUAAACCCA
rnacentral:misc_RNA from 1 species